GUUCCCUCCUAUCCCGGAGCCAUCGCGCUCUCUCUCACUCUCUCUCUCUCUCUCUCUCUCUCAAACCUUCGACAUUAUUGGAUCUCUUGAGCUCCAUUAAGCUCGAUCUCGAGGUAUUCCAACUCCCACUCACCAUUCUCUCGUCCCCUUCCCUUUCCUCAGCUGAAUCGCGCGAGCACAUGAUCGAUCUCUCCCCCGAUCUCGCUUUAAUUUCGUAAAGUUUGGCUUCUUUGGUCGCAAAUUGAUGCAUCGGAGUGGUAAAUGGCGAAGCAGGGAGAAAUCUCAACACCCGAACGGCGAAGGGUUCAUUCAGUUUAUGAAACAAACGAGUGAUUCAGAGGUGCAGUUGGACUCGUCCUGUCGCAGCGGAUCUUCGAUGGAAGGAAAUUCUUUUACUCCUGAGUUUAGGCGACAAACAACUAGAAAAGAUAAAGAGAUGCCAAUGAAAACUCCAGGAGAUGAACCAGCCUCGAAAGAGGCAGAGAUUACCCCUCCGCCACCGAGUCUUAUUGCAAGAUUGAUGGGCCUUGAUAGCUUGCCUCCUACUCGGAAAGUCCGUAAUCAACAGAGUAAUACAGGAAAUUAUUCGCAAUCGGUAACACCAGUUGGUUUUGAAAGAAAGAAUGUGUUUCAUGAAGAUCAUUCACAUCAGAGAAGCAGUGAUGAGCAUACGGAAUUCAAAGAUGUUUUUGAAGUCAAUGAAACUCCAAAAUUUAAGAAGCACAAGAAUCAUAAAGUUAAGAAAGUGGCACUUAGCUCUGAAAAAGCUAACAAAGUUGACAUCAACUUUGUCAAGCAGAAAUUCCUGGAUGCAAAGCGUCUCUCUACUGAUGAAGUGCUUCAAAACUCUAAAGAAUUCAAUGAUGCGCUUGAAAUACUUGAAACGAAUAAGGACCUAUUUUUGGAAUUUCUCCAGGAACCCAAUUCUCUUUUCUCAAAGAGCCUCCAGGAUCUGAAUUAUUCUCCACACUCUGAUGCAAGCCACAUCACAAUUUUAAAACCCUCUAAAGGUAGAAAUGCAGAGAUGAGCUCCAUAUUGAGGAGAGAUUAUGAAAGGUGUGCUCAUAUGUCAAGUGAAGUUAGUGACCCCUCUCGAAAACACACAAAUAUUCCUAUCAGCCACUCUCUGAAGGAACACAGUGGCUAUCUUCGUGUGGGCAAGGCUGAGUCUUGCAUUAAUCCUACUAGGAUUGUUGUGCUAAAACCAAGCAUUGAGAAAGCUAAAAAUGUGGGAGAUGUUUCAUCAGGCCAUGAAGGAUUUCCAUUUGGUUACAAAAGACCCAUGGAAUUUUCAGUGUCUCAAAACGAGAGAUUAUCUGCAGAAGAAAAUACACGAUCAAAGUUGUCCGGAACUAUGGAUGUUUGGGGGCCUGAGACAAAGGCUUCAAGAAAUACUCCCAAAGAGAUCACAGCACAAAUGCAGGAAACUGUGACUGUUAGAACUAGAAGGAUAAUUGAAUCAGAGUGCAAUUCAUACGUUGGGAGUGAAAGGUCAAGAUCUUCCAGCCUACACGAUGAUCGGAACAAAAGAUUCAGCUCGUCAUCAACUCAUUCAACUGAAUCAUCAGUGAGCAGAGAAGCUAGGAAGCGCCUAUCUGAAAGAUGGAAGAUCACCAACCGAUUUCACAAAGGGGGUUCUCUUCCUAGUGGCUCGAGCACGCUAGGUGAAAUUCUCGCUCUAUCAGAUGGAGAAGCACAAAAUCCUGCUUUGCGUCAAAUGGUUAAUCAGAAUAUUUCAGAUGACAAAUUACUUAGAGAUGAGGUGCCAGGUACAUUGGAUUACCCUCUAGGUAUUAGUAGUAAGGAUGGGUGGAAGGUUGGGAGAUCCGGAAUAGCAAGGUCGAAAUCUCUCCCAGCUUCAUCUACCCUACAUGAAAGCUCAAAACCCAGAAAUAGAAAGAGAGCUGGUCAAAAUGGUGACUUUUACAUUCUUAAAGAUGUGCUCAAUAUGGGAGCUGAUGAUUCUGCAGUUGGACAGACUAGCAGGCGAGGAAGGUCACGUACCAGUAUCGGAAAGUAUAACGGUGACAAAAUUCCAUCAAUUUGUUCUGGUGGAGAGGAAAGUAUGCUACCAGAAAGAGAGAUUCAUGUGAACUCAGAGGAGUUGAGAAAAAGUAUCCCUGCAAGCAAUCUUGCAGAAGAGAUACCACUAAAUCCUGCACUUUCUGAUGAUGCUACUAAUGUAGGGAAUGACCUCAUUGACAGUUGCAUAGCGACCGAUAGCCAAGAUGUGAGACAUGCUUGCCCAACUCAAGAGGAAAACAUACAACAACAGUCGACAUCAGCAGUACUAAUGAAGGAUGAAAAUAUCUUAAUGCUUAAUCAGGAUGAUAUGGUGAUACAGGCGGCCCAAAUCGACCAUCCUCAAGUUGAUGUCAUUUCAUCCCCCUGCCAUAUAGUAGAAUCUGCUUCUCUCCUUGGCUCCAAGGAGGGUGAACAGCCAAGUCCUAUUUCUGUUCUAGAGCCUCCACUGGAAGAAGAGACUUCUUGUUCAUCAUGCUUUGACAAAAUUAGUGCGGAUCUCAAAGAGCUCCGAAUGCAACUUCAACUUCUGAAGAUGGAGUCAGAAAAUAGCGAUGCAGAAGAAUCAGAACUUCUCACAGUAAAUGAUGAGGACAACAUAGGCGAUAUUCACACUAGUCCAUCAACAGGAGAGUUACCUGAGGCUUUAGACGAUCAGGAAAGGGACUUUUCUUACUUAGUGGACAUGCUCGUUGAUUUCAAUAUCCAUCAUGCCAACCGAGAUGAGCUAUUGGGUUCCUGCUUCUCGAGCGAUUCACCAUUGAGCCUGGAUGUGUUUGAAAAGCUUGAAAAGAAGUACAACAAGAUGAUUCAGUGGGCAAGAUCGGAGAGGAAGCUUUUAUUUGAUCUUGCAAAUUCUAUUUUGGCAGAUGUGAUUUCCUCGAGCCGGUGUCGACCCAAGCGGGCCAGAGGCCAUUUUGUUGAAGAGGUUUGGCAAAUGGUGGUCAGGCAAAGAAGACAGCCGCAUUGCACUCAGGAGAUAGACCUUGAAACAAAGUGGUUAGGUUUGGGAGGCGGCGUCGACACUGUGGGUGAGGAGAUAGAGAAAAUUAUAUUUGAUCACCUUAUGAAGGAGCUUGUUGUGGAGUUCAUAAAAGUCGACUAGAUAUUGCUGAGAAGCGGGAUCAUCUGUUCUCUCAUAGUUCUUUGGUGGCCUCUACUGCCAGAUUAAGAAGGCUCAUCGCAAGUUCCAUGGAAUCUUCUUCUAAAGAAAUGUUUCGGUCAUUAUUGUACAUCAUCAGCUUAUAGCAGCAGCUCACGCCUAAUUCUAGGGGGGGGUUAACCACCAGGUUCCUUACAUGUGAUUUGAUACGCUUAUUGAGGAUCCCUACAUGCCUUUUCCUCUUCCCCUCGUACACAAUCCUAAUAACACACUGAUGAUACGCUGAGCAAUCGGGAUAAGAUCGUAUAAGAUCGUAUCAUCGGAAUAGAGUGUUGAGAAAGAUGGCCGGUCAUGGUUCCUUCCACGCCUUCUUCCGGGCUCUUCUGGCCUUCGUACUUGUAAUGUCGUUAUGCUGCUCCUCCGAUUCGGCCGCCCGGCCGAUUCAUGAGCCCGCGUCUCAGCGUUUCGGAUUGCCGCCGUUCUCGCACGGAGUCCGAGGCGCGGGGUUUAGGUUCCCGCGGCUGCCGCGGGGUCCUGUCCCUCCGAUGGGUCCUUCGAUCGGGGUGCUUCCAUCACCGCCGCCGCCGCCCACCCCGUUUUCAUCGUUCUCGCACGGAGUCGAUGGAUCACAUAGGUUCCCGAUGCUGCCGAAGGGCUCGGUGCCUCCGUCCGGCCCUUCGAAAGGGGAGCAUGGGCCGCCGCCACCGCCCACCCCGUUUUCAUCGUUCUCGCACAUAGUCGAUGGAUCACAUAGGUUCCCGAUGCUGCCGAAGGGCCUGGUGCCUCCGUCCGGCCCUUCGAAAGGGGAGCAUGGACCGCCGCCACCGCCCACCCCGUUUUCAUCGUUCUCGCACGUAGUCGAUGGAUCACAUAGGUUCCCGAUGCUGCCGAAGGGCCCGGUGCCUCCGUCCGGCCCUUCGAAAGGGGAGCAUUGGUCGCCGCCGCCACCGGCGCCAAAUAGCUUGUUUUGAAUAUCUUAGCACAGGGAGUUCACUUACGAAACACUCGUAUUAUGAAUAAAGACUAUGUUUUGACUCUUC